AUUGAACGCGGCGGCAUGCUUUACACAUGCAAGUCGGACGGCAGCACAGAGAAGCUUGCUUCUUGGGUGGCGAGUGGCGAACGGGUGAGUAACAUAUCGGAACGUACCGAGUAAUGGGGGAUAACUAAUCGAAAGAUUAGCUAAUACCGCAUAUUCUCUGAGGAGGAAAGCAGGGGACCUUCGGGCCUUGCGUUAUUCGAGCGGCCGAUAUCUGAUUAGCUAGUUGGUGGGGUAAAGGCCUACCAAGGCGACGAUCAGUAGCGGGUCUGGGAGGAUGAUCCGCCACACUGGGACUGAGACACGGCCCAGACUCCUACGGGAGGCAGCAGAGGGGAAUUUUGGACAAUGGGCGCAAGCCUGAUCCAGCCAUGCCGCGUGUCUGAAGAAGGCCUUCGGGUUGUAAAGGACUUUUGUCAGGGAAGAAAAGGCUGUUGCUAAUAUCGACAGCUGAUGACGGUACCUGAAGAAUAAGCACCGGCUAACUACGUGCCAGCAGCCGCGGUAAUACGUAGGGUGCGAGCGUUAAUCGGAAUUACUGGGCGUAAAGCGAGCGCAGACGGUUACUUAAGCAGGAUGUGAAAUCCCCGGGCUCAACCUGGGAACUGCGUUCUGAACUGGGUGACUAGAGUGUGUCAGAGGGAGGUAGAAUUCCACGUGUAGCAGUGAAAUGCGUAGAGAUGUGGAGGAAUACCGAUGGCGAAGGCAGCCUCCUGGGAUAACACUGACGUUCAUGCUCGAAAGCGUGGGUAGCAAACAGG
rnacentral:rRNA from 1 species